AGGAUUUGUGUCUCUGGACUGAGACUUUGGAACUCUGUUUGAACUCUAGGUAAUCUUGGACUGGGAAACCGAAAGUCUGUUUAAGUGCACUAGGGUAAUCUGUGGCAUGGACAAGGAACCAAGAAGAGGGGUGACAGAAAGCUGGAUUUCUGUGUAAGUUGGGCAAAACAUGACAAAAGAAACUAGAGUCAGAGUCCAUGGCACAUCCAAGAAAAUUAAGCAGAAACUGUUGUCCAGUCUGCCAGUAACAUUUUCCUCCUUUCUGUAAAUGCCCUUGGAUUCCUCAAACCAAAGAAAGUGGAGAUUCUUCAGUCCUGUAUCCCCAGGCAAAAUGGAAGUGAAAAGCUGCUUCUGACUUAUGCAGUCUGUUUCUGCAGGCACAAGAGCAAUCCAGGCAGCAGACCAGGGUGGGUGAAUUUUG